rnacentral:rRNA from 1 species
CAGUCGCCGCGGGAAUACGAAGGGGGCUAGCGUUGUUCGGAAUCACUGGGCGUAAAGCGCACGUAGGCGGACUUUUAAGUCAGGGGUGAAAUCCCAAGGCUCAACCUUGGAACUGCCUUUGAUACUGGAAGUCUUGAGUUCGGGAGAGGUGAGUGGAACUGCGAGUGUAGAGGUGAAAUUCGUAGAUAUUCGGAAGAACACCAGUGGCGAAGGCGGCUCACUGGACUGGUAUUGACGCUGAGGUGCGAAAGCGUGGGGAGCAAACAGGAUUAGAUACCCCAGUAGUCCCUGUCUCUUAUAA